GAGUUUGAUCCUGGCUCAGGAGAACGCUAGCGACAGGCUUAACACAUGCAAGUCGAGGGGCAGCGGGGUGUAGUAAUACACUGCCGGCGACCGGCGCACGGGUGCGUAACGCGUAUGCAACCUACCUAUCAGUCAGGGAUAGCCCGGCGAAAGUCGGAUUAAUACCUGAUGAAGCAGGGGCUCCACAUGGGGCUAUUUGCUAAAGAUUAUAUUGCUGAUAGAUGGGCAUGCGUUCCAUUAGAUAGUUGGCGGGGUAACGGCCCACCAAGUCUGCGAUGGAUAGGGGUUCUGAGAGGAAGGUCCCCCACACUGGUACUGAGACACGGACCAGACUCCUACGGGAGGCAGCAGUGAGGAAUAUUGGUCAAUGGCCGGGAGGCUGAACCAGCCAAGUCGCGUGGAGGAAGACGGCCCUAUGGGUUGUAAACUUCUUUUAUAGGGGAAUAAAGUGCAGGACGCGUCCUGUUUUGUAUGUACCUUAUGAAUAAGCAUCGGCUAACUCCGUGCCAGCAGCCGCGGUAAUACGGAGGAUGCGAGCGUUAUUCGGAUUUAUUGGGUUUAAAGGGUGCGUAGGUUGACAUUUAAGUCAGCGGUGAAAGUUUGUCGCUCAACGAUAAAAUUGCCGUUGAAACUGUGUGUCUCGAGUAUGUUUGAGGUAGGCGGAAUGCGUGUGUAGCAAUGAAAUGCAUAGA
rnacentral:rRNA from 1 species